CCUACGGGUGGCAGCAGUGAGGAAUAUUGGUCAAUGGACGCAAGUCUGAACCAGCCAUGCCGCGUGCAGGAAGACGGCUCUAUGAGUUGUAAACUGCUUUUGUACGAGGGUAAACGCAGAUACGUGUAUCUGUCUGAAAGUAUCGUACGAAUAAGGAUCGGCUAACUCCGUGCCAGCAGCCGCGGUAAUACGGAGGAUUCCAGCGUUAUCCGGAUUUAUUGGGUUUAAAGGGUGCGUAGGCGGUCGGAUAAGUUAGCGGUGAAAUUCCGAGGCUCAACUUCGGAAUUGCCUCUGAUACUGUUCGGCUAGAGAGUAGUUGAGGUAGGCGGAAUGUAUGGUGUAGCGGUGAAAUGCUUAGAGAUCAUACAGAACACCGAUUGCGAAGGCAGCUUACCAAGCUACUUCUGACGUUGAGGCACGAAAGCGUGGGGAGCAAACAGGAUUAGAUACCCUGGUAGUC
rnacentral:rRNA from 1 species